rnacentral:rRNA from 1 species
CACGUAGGGCGCGAGCGUUGUCCGGAAUUAUUGGGCGUAAAGAGCUCGUAGGCGGCCUGUUGCGUCCGCUGUGAAAGCCCGGGGCUUAACCCCGGGUCGGCAGUGGAUACGGGCAGGCUAGAGGUAGGUAGGGGAGAAUGGAAUUCCCGGUGUAGCGGUGAAAUGCGCAGAUAUCGGGAGGAACACCGGUGGCGAAGGCGGUUCUCUGGGACGGUACUGACGCCGAGACGCGAAAGCGUGGGGAGCGAACAGG